rnacentral:lncRNA from 1 species
AGAAAAACAUUUUUAAGUAAAUAAAUAUUAAUAUAUUAUGACAUUAUUAUUUUUUUAUAUUAAUUUAAGCAGUUCUGGCCUCGGCUGAUUGGAUCUAAUUAGACCCCACAUUUCAACUCACCAAAAAUAUCAAACAUAGCUUAAAUAUACUAUGUGUCUCAUAUGUAAUAAGCAAACUGUUGUGUUUCAUGAGUUAGGUGGAAAGAGCGUUCAUAAAAGAAAUACCUCAAAGGUCAAGUCUGAAUUCUCCAGAAGCUGCCCAUUGUUUGGUCUAUUUCUAACAUCUCUGGGAAAAACAUACACAGAGAAGUACAACAGAAUCUCUUUUCUUCCAAGACUUGAUAACCAAUAUCCAAUCACCAAUAUCUAGGACCCAUCAAGUCAGGUUUAUUCCAGUUAUCCCUCAGAAUCUUCUUUCCUUUUAUUUACAAACACUCUCUCUCUCGCUCUCCUGUCAAACCCAUGUCCAAUUCUCUGUAAAGCUGAUUGUAAGUUUUUGCCUGCCCAUGAAGAGUUGAGUGCUAUCUUUUCCCUAUAUUAAAAAAAUUGGUUCAGAAAAAUACUGGUGAAAUUGGUGUAUUCAGAAAAAUACAGAAAAAAAUUGGUUCAGA